rnacentral:rRNA from 1 species
GACGAACGCUGGCGGCGUGCUUAACACAUGCAAGUCGAACGGAAAGGCCCUGCUUUUGUGGGGUGCUCGAGUGGCGAACGGGUGAGUAACACGUGAGUAACCUGCCCUUGACUUUGGGAUAACUUCAGGAAACUGGGGCUAAUACCGGAUAGGAGCUCCUGCUGCAUGGUGGGGGUUGGAAAGUUUCGGCGGUUGGGGAUGGACUCGCGGCUUAUCAGCUUGUUGGUGGGGUAGUGGCUUACCAAGGCUUUGACGGGUAGCCGGCCUGAGAGGGUGACCGGCCACAUUGGGACUGAGAUACGGCCCAGAAUCCUACGGGAGGCAGCAGUGGGGAAUAUUGCACAAUGGGCGGAAGCCCGAUGCAGCAACGCCGCGUGCGGGAUGACGGCCUUCGGGUUGUAAACCGCUUUCGCCUGUGACGAAGCGUGAGUGACGGUAAUGGGUAAAGAAGCACCGGCUAACUACGUG